rnacentral:misc_RNA from 1 species
AUAUCCCAUGUGAGGAAGCCCACCCGGCCAACUAGCCAUUGACAUGGGUAGAGGAAGAGAACUUGAUUGAGCAGCUUUCUCGGUGUUUGGUUGCUGCUGCUGCUGUUGUUUCUGAACAUGAUGGUGCAACUUGUUACCACUUCCGGUAACGACGCCACUAUCUCUAUCAGAUUUCUCCAAAUCAAGCUGCAGAUCAAUAUUCCUCUCUUUACUAGCAUUUGGUUUAUGCGAUUCAACAUCUUCGGCUACCAGUUUUGUCUUUUUCUCCUCUGGUUCCACACACACAUCUUUUCCAAUUUUCAGAGACUUAUCAUCUUCUUUAACCGCCGGUUUUAUUUCCGUUUCGACGUCUGUGAUUAUAGGUUUAUGAUCUACAGGCACAAAGCCAAUCUCACUGUCUCUUUCUGGGGAUGAUCUUACUGGUGGUGGAGCCAUCAGAUCUAUCUGG